ensembl:lncRNA
AUUCUAUACUGACAAACUGAUCAUCAACACUAGCUCCACUAACAGCAUAGCAACAUGCUAACAGGCCAACUCACAGCACACUGAAAGCCAGCGUUAGGAGUCGGCUAUGGUUUCUUCUGCGUGCUUCUAAGUAAUAAAGUUAAUUCGGUUUCAGUCCCUGUGGUUUGCUAGCGAGUCUCGGCAGACUAACAAUAGCUACUGGCCUGCUGUUAGCAUUAGCGUGGUUAGCGUAAAAACUGCUCUGACCCUUUGACGACGAAGAAUGGAUCUUCCAUAGACAUGUUGCUGGUUCCGGUUCAGUCGGAGCGGAGCCCCAUCACACACACAGACUUUCAGCUUCAGAUCGAAAAAAGCAAACCCUGUUCAAUGUCUCAUUUAUUUAACUGCGGUUGGCUCCAUCGAAACUGCUGUUGCUUCUUUGUUUACAUGCAGCGGCUUCCUCGGCGGAGGCGGGCCACUGACGUCACGAAAGCUGUUCUUCUUCUAGUGUUAUCCUGGUAUUCACGUGUAGCUGAUUUGAGCAUUUCUGCCGCCUUCUGUUAGGGAGUUUAAAUCAGCCAACACUAAAUCCUUAAAAAAGACAACUACACGAAAUCGUAGAAAAUACACUAGUCUGUUGUGUAAUAAUUAUUCAGAUAAAUAUGCAGCGUUUGCUGUUGUACGUCAUUUAACACAGAUUCUCAUUAUCUGUUCAUCUUACACUGUUUUAACAUUAUAUACUGUAAACGUUCUUAGAGAACAGCCAGCUAUACAUGUCUUUAGCUGUAAAUACUAACAAUAUAGUAUAUGUUACACUAUACCCUGUAUAUUUAUUAUGCUAAUAAUAUAUUGUAUAUUACAUUAUAUUCUGUAUACAUAUUAUGUACGUACUGAGAGAAUAGUAAACUAUAAACGUUGUUAGCCGUAAAUACUGUACUUUAGUACAAGUGUCAUGUCUAUAAAUGCAUUUAUGUUGGUGUCACGCCACAUGUUAGUUUAUAGUUGUGUUCACGUGUGUUUGACUGCAUUAAUUACUAGUUGCAUAUCACAGAUGUUACUCAACUAAUAAAUGAGGAUCUUGUAAUAGAUUAAACCACCAGAAUUGUUUAAAGUCAGUCAAAUAUAAACACAUUAAUGCCUCAAUGAUUAGGAUAAUAUAUUAUAUAUUUGGCAUCACGACUAGUUUUAAUCUUUCAUUAAAGUUCAUUUUGAUGCUAAGUCCCUGAAGCCGAUGUACGAGGGACUGGCACAGCGCUACAGCGCUGCAGGCAUAGAAAAGGCACAAUAACAGUGGGUAGACAGGUAAAUAAUAUCAAUAUUUUUGACCAUCAUUGGUGACACAAACAGCUCAUAGUCACAACUUAGAUUACUUUUCAUUUUUUCCAGUUUCAUUAAAGAAAUGCCCUUUGCAUUCAAUUUUAUUUUGAUGACCAUAUCCACUGGAGCACACAUGGUGGUCUAUAUGACUGAUGUCACAUUGAUGGCUUUCCUUUUAUUUUUUCUUUUAGGGAUUGCUGUGUUGCACUCAAGGUGGCAGAAUCGUCUGCAGGAGAACAUCUGAAAUGGGAUUCUUGGAGAACAACGAAUUGCCAAUGUCACUUAUGGUAAACUCCGAAACACAUGUGCUUCAAGAUCACAUUUUAAUGCAAACAUUAAUAUCAAGCUGGACUUGUUUCACUGCAUGAGGCGGUUCCUCCGUGAGUGUGUGUCGGAGCAUCACGCCCUGUACAGUUCCUUUGCUCAGUUCCUCUGGACUGGGACAAGCACAACAGCAAGACAGAUCACACCCAGGCCCCGAAUCCACCUCCUCAAAGUGAUCCACUCGCUACCCAGUCGGAGGUUCCUCUGUCAUCCUCACUGGCACCAUCAAGGUUGUUCCAGUUUUCUCCAUACAUUUGUGUCACUUUUCCAUUUUUUUACAAGAUGUGGAAAUACAUUUAGGGUGUUAUUGAAUAAACAUUCACAUACAAAUACCAGUCUUUCAUGAGAUUUUAAUAAAAGUUUAUAUUUAUUAUACAAGUAUUUGAUUCAAUAGGUCAGAAUGACUUAUUAUACUCCGUCUUUUGUUCCUGUAGAAACUCCACGUCCGCCGUCGCUGGCAGUUAUCGACCAGCUGCUCAACAAACCCCGUGAGCAGAAAGACAUGCUGAAGCUUGUGGACCAGGACUACGCUGCUCUAGUUCACAACUCCUGUACAGACCCCAACAGCAUGCUCCACCCAACAACAAAACUAUAUAUUCUACAAUAUGUAAAGCACCUCAGCAAAUUGUUGAACACCAGUUCCUCUUUAAACGUCAGUCCAGAAAAACUGCAAGAGAGGCAGAAACUCUGUCACUCUCUGACAGAGGUGAGUGACACCACUAGUGUGCCAGUUGUUACGAUGUCUGUUGCAAUUGUUCACCCACCUCCACCUGUUCAGAUGCUGACACAAGCUUCUAUUGAGAAGAUUGUACUCAACAUCAUGGAAAAGCAGCAGCAACAUAAACAGGAACAACAACAACAACAACAACAACAACCAAGUUAAUAUAUUUCAAUUGCUAAUGUCUACAUGUGUAAUAAGUGAAAAUAAGUGAAUCACUGUAGUGAACAGUAAAAUAAGUUGGUCUGUAAGUACAAUCUAGUGAUAACCAGUAGACAGCAGAUUGGGGUAAACAUUUCCUUUAUUUGUUAUUUGAGAAGGAUGAGGUAGGAGGGAGUGGGAGGUGAAGGAAGGUGUUCUUACAGGUGUCCAGUCUCAGGCACGUUGAUGUUGACGUCCUGGAUGGUCUGCUUUUUCUUCUCUCUCCUAUUUCUUUGUCUCCUUGUCCUGCAUCUUAUGCCUCAUUUUGUCCAUCUCCGUCUGCCGGUCUUUUUUUUUUUUUUUUUAAAUAAAGGCAGAUGUUUUCAAGGACUGUUUUGUUGUCCUCUAAUUCUUGGAUCCUGCUGAUAAGGAUCUGAUGUUCUUUGGGGAUGGUAUCCUCCGUUUGUUGGAUCUUAGCGAUCAGGCACAACUCAGUGAAACCACUGCUUGUGACCAUCUCGUGGUGGGUAUCCUCUUGGCUCUUUUUUUAAGCAGCUAGAGACUCC